ACACUUUGUUUUUUUGAACCUCAGCCCGCCUGUGUUUCAGUGUCGCAGCUCACAGCGGCCAGCUGUGGUCGAGGGAAGUGAUUCAUUUCCCUGUGGUGAAAAUACAGAGUCUUCGUCAGAGCGCGGAAAUUCCCGGACAUCACUAGGUUAGUGAUCUGUCAUGAAAGCGAAAGCGCUCAUUCCCAGCCAGCCCACUUCUUCAGACUGAGGAACUAACGAUACACUGGAACUGGAGGGACUCGAGCAGCUUCUUCAGUCUCUAAAACACGACAGCAGACUCUCUGGAGAAGGACAGUGUCGGUCUCGUGGCCUGGACUCGAGCAUGCCUGCAGUCAGCCUGGUGAAGAUGUACUUCCUAAUCGGCACUGCCUUUGGUGUUCUGCUGGCUCUCUACGGUCUGGUUGACUCGGUCGGUGGUCUGAUGUUUGUCCCCACUCGCCACCACACGGAGGUAGAGUGGGCGGUCAAAGACGCCCCCGCAGCUUCUCCGGGCAGGAGCACGGCUAAGAAACACAUCGGACAGAGAUGAACCUCCGGAUUUCUUCUCCUCGCUGUUCCGCUAUUGAAACCCGUGGGUCUCAGAUCUACAUUUGCACUGGAUGAACAGGAAGAGCUGCGAGUCUUUACUGAACUGCUGCAGUGAGAGUCGCUGAGUGGAGCUGCAGGGUUUCAGCCUGUAAACAAACCUGUCUGUCCGAGGAAGACUGCCGUAAAGCUACCUGCUGGUCAUCAGAUAGCGACUUACCUACUUGAUAGAAAGGCAAAAAACCGUGUUUUCGUAGUUACUGAUUUUUAAACGCACACUAAGAGCCAGUGUUAUUUUUUUUUUUAUUUUUUGUAAAAAGUGUAUAAAAAACCUGUUAAACUUGUAGAAGCUGUCAUGUCUGAACUUAAGAAUAGACAUCACUCCUUGUGUUGGGUUUUGUUAGCUGUCUGUUGUACAGAAUCGUUUAAAUCUAAACAAAAAGAUCAUUGUUUUGUUUUAUGUUCACAACAUUAAAAGAUUACGACUACAUUACACUUACUGUAUUUCAAAACAUUUCAUCUCAAAAGUGCUUUUAAAUCGUAGAGAAUUACAAGCUCUAAUUUUGCUGCAUGUGUGAUUAACGCACUUAGACAUGCAAGUCACUUUACAUGUUGAAGGGGAAUUCCACCAAUUUUUCAAAACCUCUGCUCAGUUCAGUCAUUAAUAAUGAAGUUACUCAGAGUGGUUUGUUUGAAAUGCUCCACUGUGGAGAAACUUAUCAACUUGGAUUUCUUUACAGUGCUGGUGAUAAGACCCAGGAAAUCCUCCUGUUUUAAAUGCAACAAUGAUUCUAAAAUAUAAGUAAUUCUGGAAAAAAAAACAUCAGUUUUAUUGUGGAGUGUUUUGCCUCACAACGCCCUACAUGUAUCUCUUCGCCAUGAGUGUAUCUAAAAAGAAUAUUUAGUUUUAGUUAUAGUUUUAAGCCAAAAAGCCUUUGAGGGAGCUUUUGCAGGCAAUAAACUCUUCAGACACCUGGUUCCUAUCAGAACUGCUGUGAACAUUUCUGACUCACCAGAUUUCUCUACAACAGAGCAUUUCACUCCAAACAAACCUGGAUGACUUUGUUUACAUUUCAACAGUUGGCAGUUGGCAGAAGUUUUGAAAAACUAGUGGAAUUCCCCUUAACUUUGGAAACAGUUAGGACAUGGAGCAAGUACUGGUCUUGGCACAAUGUUUCCAGAAAACAAGAAUGUCUCGCCUGUUAAAAGCUGUUUUUUUCCAUCAUAUACAUUGUUUGGAGUGGGCUUUACACAUACAAGAACUGUCAGUGCUAAAUUACAGUUAAUGCCACCUUUAUUAGAGAAAUAAAAAUGUGCUUUGUAUUAUACAUCAGCUGUUAUUCUUUUCAGACACUCAUAUCCAAAAUUGUUACAAAUGGAUAUACAGCAUUUUGGAAUGAAACUCUUUAAUUAAGAAUGCCUCAGACUGAGAGGCUUUAUGUGACUACCAGUGCAAUA